CAAAGCAGCAUCGCGGUGGCGGAGCGUCGUUUGCGACGCCCAACACACAAAACAAGCGGUGAAUGCUUUGGGGUGGGGUGACUGCGUACCUUUUGUAUAAUGGGUCAGCGACUUAUAUUCUGUAGCAAGGUUAACCGAAUAGGGGAGCCGGAGGGAAACCGAGUCUUAAUUGGGCGUUAAGUUGCAGGGUAUAGACCCGAAACCCGGUGAUCUAGCCAUGGGCAGGUUGAAGGUUGGGUAACACUAACUGGAGGACCGAACCGACUAAUGUUGAAAAAUUAGCGGAUGACCUGUGGCUGGGGGUGAAAGGCCAAUCAAACCGGGAGAUAGCUGGUUCUCCCCGAAAGCUAUUUAGGUAGCGCCUCGUGAAUUCAUCUCCGGGGGUAGAGCACUGUUUCGGCUAGGGGGCCAUCCCGGCUUACCAACCCGAUGCAAACUGCGAAUACCGGAGAAUGUUAUCACGGGAGACACACGGCGGGUGCUAACGUCCGUCGUGAAGAGGGAAACAACCCAGACCGCCAGCUAAGGUCCCAAAGUCAUGGUUAAGUGGGAAACGAUGUGGGAAGGCCCAGACAGCCAGGAUGUUGGCUUAGAAGCAGCCAUCAUUUAAAGAAAGCGUAAUAGCUCACUGGUCGAGUCGGCCUGCGCGGAAGAUGUAACGGGGCUAAACCAU
rnacentral:rRNA from 1 species